ensembl:lncRNA uncharacterized LOC105012843
AGAAGAAGAAGCGAAUGUGGCGCGAAUCUGUAUUUUUCCACCCAUCAUCAAGCCAACCGCCAGAUUACAGAAAGCUCUUCACGUCAGAAAGCGAAAGCGUCAUAAGCAGCUGUGUGAAGCAAUGCUAUACGCAGGGGCUGUUUGGGUGGAGAAUGGGAAGCAGAUGGAAGAAGUUUUGCCAUUGAACUGGAUCGACACAGAGACCAAAGUGUAAACCGACAGGAGUGUGAAAAAUAUAAUUACACCUCAGCUCAAACCGAAGAGGAGGACACAGUCAGUCAAAAGAGAAUGAAGAAAAUAAGGACAUUUGAAGAUUAUGUUCAAGAUUUGUCUCCUGAGGAGGAUGAGUCCUUGCCAGACAAGAAAAAGGAGGAUACAGUCUUGCUUCCGGUUCCUCCGCCAAAGAUUAAGCUCUCACAUAGGGGACAAAAUGCAAGGCUGCUUGAGUUACCUGCACCCCCAGAACUGGCUAACACCGCCAUUAGACAACCAGCGAGUCCUGCAUCUUCAGACAUUUCUGGAUGUUCUCGUCCAACGCCUCACCGUUCACCCACAAGGUCUGAAUCAACAGAAGCAUUUAGUCCAGAGUCUGCCAGUAGGAUCUAUGGAUCUUGCACACCUCAGCGUGGAGUUUGAAAGCCAUCACAGUCCGGGAGCAGAAAGAGUCGGGCAUCCUCAUCCAGUGUCCCAGCUCUCAAAGGUGGGAGGGAGAAACCAUAAAGACUGCGUCCAUAAAGUGAUGGAGAGGCUUUUCACCAACAAUCUAAUGGCUGGUUUCAACAUGAAGGGGCAGGGUCGCAGUGAGAAAAAAGCCUUCCAGGAUACAGUUUUUUACUCUUUGGACUACCUACCUUCCUCUUGGAUCACACUAAAUAGGUCAAUGUGUCCUAGACAAACAGCCUCAAUGAGGUAAAAUGAAUAAUGUGAGGGACAUUGGUUCUUCUGUAGAUGGCAUUAACAAAAUGCUUAUUUUUCAUAUUGUGUUUCUUAACCUAAUGAACAGGACUCAGCUGUGACUGGAGAUUCCCCCCCAUGAUGAGAGAGGAUGAGACACUGUGAGAGAUGAUGCAGUAUGUUGACAAAGGGAGACUGAAUGACGUACAGUACACUGUUUCACCGUAGGAGUCAGGUGUCACUGAACAACAAUAAAACCAAUGUGGUUUUCAAACCAGAGUUGUAGAGAAAAAGUGGUUCUAAUAUUAUAUUUUCCCCUUCACAUAGGAUUUGUUGUUUUCCUCAUUUGCCUUUUAAACAUAGAACUGUUUAUAACAUUUCUGUUAUGUGCAACUUACAUUGCCUUUUCUAUAGACCUAACUUCUGGGCAGUGGGAAAGGUCAAUCUGUUAACAUAACAAGCCAGCUUGACUAUUACCAAUUACAUGUGUGUUUUACAAAUUAGUGCUGUGGCUUUUUCCUAAGGUUUGGUGUUGACUGUUGGGCUAGCUAGGUAGCUAUCUAGACAUGCUUUUAGGAAGGAAGCAUGAUGAAUAUACACUCACCUAAAGGAUUAUUAAGACCACCUGUUCAAUUUCUCAUUAAUGCAAUUAUCUAAUCAACCAAUCACAUGGCAGUUGCUUCAAUGCAUUUAGGGGUGUGGUCCUGGUCAAGACAAUCUCCUGA